rnacentral:lncRNA from 1 species
AGGGCUCCUCCAGCUCUUCACCUGAGCAGGUGAGAGAUGCCAGGCUCUAGGCAGAGCCUGAACUCCAGAGAGUAAACAACAGACUCUGCCCUCCCCACAGCAUUCCUUCCUCACCUUCCUAACCCCACAAGGGAACGACCUGUGGUAAGGAACUGGCAAAAGGCCACACAGUUGGGCAUGGUCAUCUGUUUCUGUAAUUCCAGCACUGAGGAGGUGAAGGCAAAAGGGUCAGAAACCCAAGGUCGCCUUCCUCAAGAAGAAUGCCUGGGAAGAAGGAAAUUGCUGCUUCUGUAUUUGCAGCAGAAAACUGCCAUGUGUGAUACCAUCAAGGAAGCUGGAGUCCUCACGUCAAAGGAGACUCACUCAUUGGUGAGUCAAGAGAUCUGAGCACCAGCAAGGAAAGUUACUAUGACUGGCUGGAAGACAUCAGACACACCAUUUGUCCCCAAUUUUCUAAAUAAACACAGCUUUAUUCACUUUUCCAAGAAUGCCAUUGACCCUAAAAACAAAACAAAACAAACCGAAACACCCAACAGUGAAGGACUAUGAUUUUCUCUUGAAAAGGUCUAUCACGGCUAACUGCUAAAGACAGUUAUCUUAGCUAAGGUGAAUUUGUCACACGAAAUGCCAUUUAAACAGACGCUUUUUGUAUGUGCUUGAGUAAGACGUGAAAGUAUUUUUUUAUUGGAAUUUCUAGUUCUCUCUUCUUAGAAAAUAAAUGAAUAAAACGUU